GAGUCUGACAUGCGUGCGAGUCGACGGGUUCUGAAACCUGGGAUGCGCAAGGAAGCUGACGAGCGGGAGGCCUUCACGGGCUGCACCACUGGCCGACCUUGAUCUUCUGUGAAGGGUUCAAGUUGGAGCACGCCUGUCGGGACCCGAAAGAUGCUGAACUAUGCCUGAGCGGGGCGAAGCCAGAGGAAACUCUGGUGGAGGCUCGAAGCGAUACUGACGUGCAAAUCGUUCAUCUGACUUGGUUAUAGGGGUGAAAGACUAAUCGAACCAUCUAGUAGCUGGUUCCCUCUGAAGUUUCACUCAGGAUAGCUGGAGCCCAUUACGAGUUCUAUCGGGUAAAGCCAAUGAUUAGAGGCAUCGGGGGCGCAACACCCUCGACCUAUUCUCAAACUUUAAAUAGGUAGGACGGCACGACUGCUCCGGUGAGCCGUCCCAUGGAAUCGGGAGCUCCAAGUCGGCCAUUUUUGCUAAGCAGAACUGGCGAUGCGGGAUGAACCUGUCACGGAACCGUCCAAAUUAUAAGAGCACAAGUACAAAAACAAUCACCGAAGCGAUCAAUUUAUCAUACUUGAGCCCAUAU
rnacentral:ncRNA from 1 species